rnacentral:lncRNA from 1 species
CCCAACCCUCACACGGACAAAGAAGAUGAGGUUCUGGGAAGCGGAUACGGUUCUGCAGACUGAGAUCUUUGGACCAGGGUCAACAGAACUGUGCCACAGGCAUUGUUCCAGCAUCAUGCUGCUGGCAGAGGGUUUCAGGUUCCUGCAGCGUCCAGCUCUUGCACUAAAUCAACAGAUUUCAUGGUGCCACUUGUGCUGUGCAGGUAAGAACCGCUCUGUUUGCCACACCUUUUGGUUUGGAGGUGAUGUCAAAAAAGGCCGUCUGAAGCUCUGCCUGCAGCAGUAUGUUCACAGGGAGAAUCUCCGCCCACUGACCCGCCGAGGCCCCAAAAUGCAGAUGACGGUCACAGAUGUACCAUCAGCUCUGCAUAAACCUGCUGGCAGAUGCCUUCAGGUUCACCUGGGAUUUCUGCACGUCUGGAUGGUCUUCAUCAUGACAUCAAGAUUUAAUCAUCAAAUCCUGUCACCAGUUCAGAAGCAGAAACGGGGAUGUGUUAAUAGUUUAAUAUUUAAAGUCCCACUCUGAAAAUAUUUUUUUCUUUUUCUUUAAUACAUGUUAUUGUCAUUUUUCUGAUAUUAAGACAAUUGAACCCAAAGUUUAAUUUGAGUAUUUCUUCAAAUUAUUGUGAAUCAGGAGCAGAAGGGGAAAAAAAUGCAGUUUGAAAAAGAGUUUAUUUGUGACGUAGAAAAAAUGCUGAGCAGGCCACAGGGUCCCUGCACUGCUCCACGAUGGGAAUGGGGGUGGAGUUGCUCCCCACCAAUGGUCCCAUCCACAAAUAAGAGAUGAAUGUCUAACUACUACCACUGUGCAGAAAUUGUCUUAAAAAACAAAACAGUUUAUUUUUUUGCUUUAACGUCAAAGCCUUAAUUCAAAGACGGCUGGGAAUGCUUUUUAAAUCGAUCAAGAUGAUUGAAAUGACUUGUUUUUCUUUGUUUCCAGUGUUUUUUAUGUACUGCUCAUGUAUUCAACAGCAGCCUCGUCAAAUGUGUGGAUUUAAAGGUUUAGUAUCAACUGUCUAUUGAGUUGAUUUCCAGUGGAGUUACGGAGCCGGUCUGCUAAUAAACUCAUGUUGAAGAUCUUUUUGUCUGAGGUUUGUUUCCCUCUGCUGGAUGACAUGAACGGGUCAUUAGUUCUGUUAAGGGUCGGAACCAGAACACAUCUUUAAGGAUGACCAUGUUUAGGUUUGGGCUUAUUAGACGUGAUGUGAUUAAAGCUCAUCAUGGCUUUACUUUUUAGUCUUAAUGACUGCAAAGGUAAAACAUGUUUCCAUGAGCAUCUUCCCUGUUUGAACUACAGGAACAUCGCAGUUUUGGAAAACCCUAUGACAACCCGCUAGGCAUUUUUUUUUCUUCAGAACAGCAGAACUUGCCAUGACUUCUGAAGUCAAAGUUCUGGUUUGCUGAAGCAUGAAGACACUGGAAGAUAUUCUGAAACAGCAGAGCUGCAGAAGCUGUCCUGUGUGUCUUUCACUUCAUCUCAUUGUUCAGGCUCAGGAGAAAAGGUACGAAAAGAAACAAAAUGUUCUGUUAGGAAACAAUGAGUUCUGAUGGAGCUCGGUUCUUUUGAGGGAACCAGACCCCCCCCCCCCCCCUUGUCUUUUUUAAAUCCACGAUAAGAGACUGGGCCGUCGGGCUCUAAUCCCGGUUCUGGUAGCGGUUCUGCAGCGGCUUGGAGUUGGGGGUUCUGCUCGGUCGUAGUGACCAGCGUGUGUACGUGUCUGACCUCUCCCCCGGAAGUCCACCUCUGCAGCGCCGCUCCGGACCGUUAGCAGCUCCGGACCCCCGUCUCUCUCUGUCCGCUUCCCCGUCACCGCAAGAA